UUAAACCCCUGCUUUGUACUGGACGGAGGACGCGCGAUCUUUUGUCUUUUGGAGUUUUAUAUAACACAGUAAGAAGUCAUGUACCACACUUUGUCAACAAUAAAUGUUUCUGCAAUCUGGAUAAAGAAUAAUAUAUUACUGCCUCUUGCAGAACAGCCGACCGUACUCCAGACAGAGACAAAGACGUGAGGACAUCCAUUGCUUUUGUAAAGGAAUUUUAUACCCAAGAGUUAUAAAUGUUGUCUUUAUUGUUUGUCUUAAUCUUUUAUUUGACAUUUUAACAAUAUAAAGUUUACUUGUACUUGUUUUUUGUUUGUAGAAGUCAUGUACGACACUUUGUCAACAAUGCAUGUUGUUCCUGCAAUCUGGAUGAAGAAAACUUACUGCCUCUUGGGAAAACAGCAGACUGUACUCCAGACAGAGACAAAGACAUGAGGACAUCCAUUGCUUUUAAGUCCUGUACCAGACUAUGUUGUUCCAGCUGUCUGGGUAAAGACUGAUACAUUACUGCCUCUUGGAGAACAGCAAACCUUUCUCCAGACAGAGACAAAGACAUGGACAUCAAAACAGAAAAUUAAGUACUUGAUCUUGGAUUGUUUGGAGUGAACGCUGGCAAAUAAUGAACAGGAAAUGAAAAUGCUUGACCAAAACAAUUUUUGUACUUGGCUAUAAGAAGUCCUUUGUGUGCACAGACAUUACUGGAGAUUAAAGUUACUAAAUGUUGCUUUUUUUCUAGCUGGUGACAUAACAUUGUAUUAUUUUCAAAUGUAUUUAUCUAAUACACAUUUGCACAUCUGUAAACAUUCAUUUUAUAUCGCAUGUUUUUUAUAUUUAACCAAUUGUUGUAUAUUGCUUUCUGUUUUUAUUGCAUGUUUAUUGUUUAAAACAAUUAAGUUAAUGUUUCUCUGUUAGCUUUUAUGUUACUUUGGCUAUUUCUUUGCUUUUAUUUGAUCCUUCUACUGUUAUUUGUUUAUUUGGCAGAACAUUUGACAUUUCAUUUAUUUUGCUGUUACUGAAAUUAUUCUUGUCAGC